AUUGAACGCUGGCGGCAGGCCUAACACAUGCAAGUCGAGCGGAGCGGAGGACGGGUGAUUAAUGCCUAGGAAGCUGCCUGGUAGUGAGGGAUAACGUCCGGAAAAGGGCGCUAAUCCCGCAUGCUAUCAACUGAGCCUCGGGCGGAUUAGCUAGUUGGUGGGGUAAAGGCUUACAAAGGCGACGAUCCGUAACUGGUCUGAGAGGAUGAUACGUCACCCUGGAACUGAGACACGGUCCAGACUCCUACGGGAGGCAGCAGUGGGGAAUAUUGGACAAUGGGCGAAAGCCUGACCCAGCCAUGCCGCGUGUGUGAAGAAGGUCUUCGGAUUGUAAAGCACUUUCAGCGGGGAGGCGUUACCCGCAGAAGAAGCACCGGCUAACUCCGUGCCAGCAGCCGCGGUAAUAC
rnacentral:rRNA from 1 species